rnacentral:lncRNA from 1 species
AACAGUGCCAAUUUUUUUUCCUUCCUCAUAGUUUUGCCAAGAACUGACCCUGCAUCUUUUGGGUUAUAAGCCAGUUUGGUCAAUAGAUGCUUGCUCCUUAACAAAACCUUAUUGAUGAGCUGAUAAAGUUUUCACAUUCUGCAGGUGAACAGUUAUGUAGGGGGCAGGGCUAAGAGACCAAAUGACAUGCUCGGGUUAUUUAACAGGGCAGAGAAAGAGCUGAGUCUACAGUGGGGGUCUCCUGACACCUAACUACAGACUGUAACCCCCUUUGAUCUUUCUGCAAAGUUCUAUUUCCAUAGGACUGAUUCUGGUAGCAUAGUAAUGCAGGAAUUACUGCAUUCCUGCAUAGUAAUGCAGGAAUUACUGAAUUACUGCAUUCCUGCAUAGUAAUGCAGGAAUUACUGGGAUAGAGAGAAUAAUGUCUCUAUCCCAGGUUUAGUACUGCAGGUUUAAAUACUACAUUGAUAGUGUCCCUCAAACCCAGUGCAGUAUUUAAAUGAUCCUCAGUCAGUUAGUUCCCAGGGUUAGAUCAUGAUGCUCAGAUUGGCAGAAGUUGGAUAUGGUAUGAAAAAAUUAUAACACAGUGUAAUAUUUGGAAAUUGUAUAAACCCUUUUCUACAUUACAGACUAUGGAGAAAAACAACUAAACCAAAUCCUCUUGGCUGGUAGAAUUAUGGAGAUUCUUUUAUUUUUUUUUUCCUUAACAAGGGUAAGAAAAAAAAAGAAUCACACCAACUUCCAGUCCCCUCACCCAAUGGCAUAUUAGGAUUUUCAAUAGGAGAUGUUCUGAGUAUUUAUCAAAACUAGGCAUAGGUUGAAAACAUCAGGCUGAGGCCUAGUUCUGAUACGGCCAAGAUCAUAGGUGGAAUGUUCUUGA